UGAACCCCAAUCUGAACCCCCAAGUGAUGACAGAAGAAAUCCUCAAGGUAUAAACAUACCACACACGCACACGCUGAACAAACGAGUACUCACACCAAAGAAGACAAACAAAAGGUGAACACACACAAAACAACAAAAGAAAAAAGAAAAGGUUGACACACACAUAGACUCAAAAAAAGAAAAGGGUGCCCGGAGAGAUUGCUCGCAACCUCCUGCCUACGUAUCUCAUCUGGUACGAGAAUCAGGGCGACGUAGUUCCCCUUAACAGGGGUACAACACUCUCCUAACCAGAGACCAGGGAAACAACAAACUAAUAGGGAGACUAA
rnacentral:lncRNA from 1 species